CACAGCCGCGGGAAUACGAAGGGGGCUAGCGUUGUUCGGAAUUACUGGGCGUAAAGCGCACGUAGGCGGACAUUUAAGUCAGGGGUGAAAUCCCGGGGCUCAACCCCGGAACUGCCUUUGAUACUGGGUGUCUAGAGUAUGGAAGAGGUGAGUGGAAUUCCGAGUGUAGAGGUGAAAUUCGUAGAUAUUCGGAGGAACACCAGUGGCGAAGGCGGCUCACUGGUCCAUUACUGACGCUGAGGUGCGAAAGCGUGGGGAGCAAACAGGAUUAGAUACCCGGGUAGUCCCUGUCUCUUAUACC
rnacentral:rRNA from 1 species